UGGGGAAUUUUGGGAUCAAUGGGCGAAAGGCCUGAAUCCAGCAAUGCCGCGUGUGUGAAGAAGGCCUUCGGGUUGUAAAGCACUUUUGUCCGGAAAGAAAUCCUUGGCUCUAAUACAGUCGGGGGAUGACGGUACCGGAAGAAUAAGCACCGGCUAACUACGUGCCAGCAGCCGCGGUAAUACGUAGGGUGCAAGCGUUAAUCGGAAUUACUGGGCGUAAAGCGUGCGCAGGCGGUUUGCUAAGACCGAUGUGAAAUCCCCGGGCUCAACCUGGGAACUGCAUUGGUGACUGGCAGGCUAGAGUAUGGCAGAGGGGGGUAGAAUUCCACGUGUAGCAGUGAAAUGCGUAGAGAUGUGGAGGAAUACCGAUGGCGAAGGCAGCCCCCUGGGCCAAUACUGACGCUCAUGCACGAAAGCGUGGGGAGCAAACAGGAUUA
rnacentral:rRNA from 1 species